GGUAACGGGCGGUUACGGUCGGACUGCCGGAGAAGGCGCCUGAGAGAUAGCGACUAUAUCCACGGGUAGCAGCAGGCGCGAAACUUUCCCACUCGAGACUUUCGGAGGAGGUAAUGACCAGUUCCAUUGGUGCCUUUUGGUACUGUGGAUAGGGGUACGGUUUUCCACCGUACCGAAACCUAGCAGAGGGCCAGUCUGGUGCCAGCAGCUGCGGUAAUUCCAGCUCUGCGAGUUUGCUCCCAUAUUGUUGCAGUUAAAACGCCCGUAGUCUGAAUUGGCCAGCAAUGGUCGUACGUAUUUUUACGUUCACUGUGAACAAAUCAGGACGCUUAGAGUAUGGCCACAUGAAUGACUCAGCGCAGUAUGAAGUCUUUGUUUUCUUCCGAAAACAAGCUCAAUGAGAGCCAUCGGGGGUAGAUCUAUCUCAUGACGAGUGGUGGAAUACUUUGACUCAUGAGAGAGAAGCUGAGGCGAAGGCGUCUACCUAGAGGGUUUCUGUCGAUCAAGGGCGAGAGUAGGAGUAUCCAACAGGAUUAGAGACCCUGGUAGUUCCUACCUUAAACGAUGCCGACAGGAGUUUGUCAUUUGUUAAUGGCAGAAUCUUUGGAGAAAUCAUAGUUCUUGGGCUCUGGGGGAACUACGACCGCAAGGCUGAAACUUGAAGGAAUUGACGGAAGGGCACACCAGGGGUGGAGCCUGUGGCUUAAUUUGAAUCAACACGGGGAAACUUACCAGGACCAGAUGUUUUUUAUGACUGACAGGCUUCGGGUCUUUCAGGAUAUUGUUUUUGGUGGUGCAUGGCCGUUGGUGGUGCGUGGGUUGACCUGUCUAGCGUUGAUUCAGCUAACGAGCGAGAUUAUCGCCAAUUAUUUACUUUGCCGAAGUCCUUCGGUUAAAGUUCUAAUUGGGACUCCCUGCGAUUUUAGCAGGUGGAAGAGGGUAGCAAUAACAGG
rnacentral:ncRNA from 2 species